UAUUUUGUUCAUAAGCGUGAUGAUUGGGUGUUCAAGCUAUUGCAUGAGAUGUGCUUCCCUCUAAACUUUGUUAUGACAUUGAUACAUUACCUGUCUGAC
rnacentral:snoRNA from 1 species